UAUGCUCUGAAUACCACCUUGAAUGCGCCCGAUCUCGUCUGAUCUCGGAAGCUAAGCAGGGUCGGGCCUGGUUAGUACUUGGAUGGGGGACCCAAUUCUUAUCCACUAUUACCUUCCUGGCAAACUCACUGUUCCAUAA
rnacentral:rRNA from 1 species